UACGUAGGGACCAAGCGUUGUUCGGAUUUACUGGGCGUAAAGGGCGCGUAGGCGGCAAAUUAAGUCAUCUGUGAAAUCUCCGAGCUUAACUCGGAACGGUCAGGUGAUACUGAUCUGCUAGAGUGCGGAAGGGGCAAUCGGAAUUCUUGGUGUAGCGGUGAAAUGCGUAGAUAUCAAGAGGAACACCUGAGGUGAAGACGGGUUGCUGGGCCGACACUGACGCUGACAGCGCGAAAGCCAGGGAGCAAACGGG
rnacentral:rRNA from 1 species